CCUGUUGAUGCUGUUGCUGUUGCUGUGGAGCUCAGGACUCCAGGCUGAAGGAAAUCACACAUCAACAGAGUCUGUCAGGUUGGUGGGAGGAGACAGUCGCUGUGCAGGAACAC